rnacentral:rRNA from 1 species
CUGCUCAAUGAAAUUUUAAAUAGCUGCAGUAUUAAUAACUGUACAAAGGUAGCAUAAUAAUUAGUUUAUUUAUUGUAAACUGGAAUGAAAGAUUAAAUAAAAUAUAAACUGUCUUUAAUAAAACUAUUAAAAUUAUUUUUUAAAUUAAAAAAUUUAAAUAAAUUUAAAAGACGAGAAGACCUUAUAGAAUUUUAUUUAUUUAUAUAUUAAAUAUUUAAUAAUUAAUUAAUUUAAAUAUUUAAAUAAAUUUUGUUGGGGUAAUUUUAAAAUUAAUUAAAUUUUUAUUAAAAAUUUAACAAUAAUAUUUGAAUUAAAAAUGAAAUUUUAAAUUUUAAAUUAAAAAAAAAUUACCUUAGGGAUAACAGCAUAAUUUUUUUUUUAAGAUCUAAUUAAAAAAGAAGAUUAUGACCUCGAUGUUGAAUUAAGAUAAAAUUUAAAUGAAAAAAAUUAAUAUUUUAAGUCUGUUCGACU